CACGUAGGGGGCAAGCGUUGGUCCGGAUUUAUUGGGCGUAAAGAGCUCGUAGGUGGUUCGGUAAGUCGGGUGUUAAACCCCCAGGCUCAACCUGGGGACGCCACUCGAUACUGCUGUGACUAGAGUCCGGUAGGGGAGCGUGGAAUUCCUGGUGUAGCGGUGAAAUGCGCAGAUAUCAGGAGGAACACCAGCGGCGAAGGCGGCGCCUCUGGGCCGGUGACUGACACUGAGGGAGCGAAAGCGUGGGUAGCAAACAGG
rnacentral:rRNA from 1 species